rnacentral:rRNA from 1 species
GACAGAGGAGCCAAGCGUUGUCCGGAUUGACUGGGCGUAAAGCGCACGCAGGCGGCCCGGCACGUGGGGUGUGAAAGCUGGCGGCUUAACUGCCAGACGCCAUCCCAUACGGCUGGGCUCGAGCCCUGCAGAGGUCCAUGGAAUUGCCGGUGUAGUGGUGAAAUGCGUAGAGAUCGGCAGGAACACCCAGGGGGAAACCAGUGGACUGGGCAGGAGCUGACGCUCAGGUGCGAAAGCGUGGGGAGCGAACCGG